CCUGGUUGAUCUUGCCAGUAGUCAUAUGCUUGUCUCAAAGAUUAAGCCAUGCAAGUGAAAGUAUAUAUAUAUAUUUUAUAUGUAGAAACUGCGAACGGCUCAUUAAAACAGUUAUAGUCUACUUGACAUUUUUAUUAUAAGGAUAACUACGGAAAAGCUGUAGCUAAUACUUGCUUUAUUAUCCUUUGAUUUUUAUCUUUGGAUAAGUAUUUGUUAGGCCUUAUAAGAAAAAAGUUAUUAACUUAAGGAAUUAUAACAAAGAAGUAACACGUAAUAAAUUUAUUUUAUUUAGUGUGUAUCAAUCGAGUUUCUGACCUAUCAGCUUUUGAUGUUAGGGUAUUGGCCUAACAUGGCUAUGACGGGUAACGGGGAAUUAGAGUUCGAUUCCGGAGAGGGAGCCUGAGAAAUAGCUACCACAUCUAAGGAAGGCAGCAGGCGCGUAAAUUACCCAAUUCUAAAGAAGAGAGGUAGUGACAAGAAAUAACAAUGCAAGGCCAAUUUUUGGUUUUGUAAUUGGAAUGGUGGGAAUUUAAAACCUUCCCAGAGUAACAAUUGGAGGGCAAGUCUGGUGCCAGCAGCCGCGGUAAUUCCAGCUCCAAUAGCGUAUAUUAAAAUUGUUGCAGUUAAAACGCUCGUAGUUGAAUUUCAAAGAAUCGAUAUUUUAUUGUAACUAUUCUAGGGGAACUAUUUUAGCUUUUCGCUUUAAUACGCUUCCUCUAUUAUUAUGUUCUUUAAAUAACAAAGAUUCUUUUUAAAAUCCCCACUUUGCUUUUGCUUUUUGGGGAUUUUGUUACUUUGAGUAAAUUAGAGUGUUCAAAGCAAACAGUUAAAGCAUUUACUGUGUUUGAAUACUAUAGCAUGGAAUAACAAAAUUGAACAAGCUAAAAUUUUUUGUUCUUUUUUCUUAUUUUGGCUUAGUUACGAUUAAUAGGAGUAGCUUGGGGACAUUCGUAUUCAGAUGUCAGAGGUGAAAUUCUUAGAUUUUCUGGAGACGAACAACUGCGAAAGCAUUUGUCUAAAAUACUUCCAUUAAUCAAGAACGAAAGUUAAGGGAGUGAAGACGAUCAGAUACCGUCGUAAUCUUAACCAUAAACUAUGCCGACUAGGUGUUGGAUGAAAGUGUUAAAAAUAAAAGUCAUCUUUCGAGGUGACUUUUAGAUUGCUUCCUUCAGUACCUUAUGAGAAAUCAAAGUCUUUGGGUUCUGGGGCGAGUAUUCGCGCAAGCGAGAAAGUUAAAAGAAUUGACGGAAGGGCACCACCAGGCGUGGAGCUUGCGGCUUAAUUUGACUCAACACGGGGAAACUCACUAGUUUAAGACAAGAGUAGGAUUGACAGAUUAAUAGCUCUUUCUUGAUUUCUUGGAUGGUGAUGCAUGGCCGUUUUUAGUUCGUGAAUAUGAUUUGUCUGGUUAAUUCCGAUAACGAACGAGAUCUUAACCUGCUAAUUAGCGGCGAGUACACUAUAUUCUUAUUUGAAAUUGAACAUAGGUAACUAUACAUUUUUAUUCAGUAAUCAAAUUAGGAUAUUUUUUUUAUUAAAAUAUCCUUUUCCCUGUUCUACUUAAUAAUUUGUUUUUUUUUACUCUAUUUCUCUCUUCUUUUAAGAAUGUACUUGCUUGAUUGAAAAGCUUCUUAGAGGAACAUUGUGUGUCUAACACAAGGAAGUUUAAGGCAACAACAGGUCUGUGAUGUCCUUAGAUGAACUAGGCUGCACGCGUGCUACACUGAUAUAUAUAACGAGUUUUUAAAAAUAUGCUUAUAUUUGUAUCUUUGAUGCUUAUAUUUUGCAUACUUUUCCUCCGCCGAAAGGCGUAGGUAAUCUUUAUCAAUAUAUAUCGUGAUGGGGAUAGAUUAUUGCAAUUAUUAAUCUUGAACGAGGAAUGCCUAGUAAGCAUGAUUCAUCAGAUUGUGCUGACUACGUCCCUGCCCUUUGUACACACCGCCCGUCGCUCCUACCGAUUGAAAGAUAUGAUGAAUUGUUUGGAUAUGAAAAAUUGAAUUAUAUUUCUUUUUUUUUCUGGAAAAACCGUAAAUCCUAUCUUUUAAAGGAAGGAGAAGUCGUAACAAGGUUUCCGUAGGUGAACCUGCGGAAG
rnacentral:rRNA from 1 species